CAUCCUUCGAUGUCAUAUACUCUUGUUCUCAGCUGGAUGCUAGAAACUUUCCUUUUCAUCUAUCUCCAUUUCACAUCUGAAAAUAGAGCUAAAUGUGAAAUUUUGACAUGUUUGACUCAUACAGGUUGGAGGAUGAAACCAAGUUAAGAGCCCAGGCUGCAGUGCUGAUCAUUUGAAUCGUUUCCUGCUGUGAGGAGAGACUCUGAGUGAUGUCCCGAACUGAGGAACUGCUCCUGGUCUGUAUGCUCCGAACAGCUCUGGCACAGGAGAAAAUACCCCUCGUGGUGCCCAGUUCAUGUCCUGGAGGUCUCCUGCUGUCAGUGAUGACCAGAAGUUUCUUCUGCUCCUGAGAGACAGAAUGUGUGCUGUCAGUGCUGGCUUUGGUGUGACUUCUUUGGAUUCAUUAUAGUAACAGUGUAUUCAGGUGAAGAACCAAAGAGCUGCUUUUAGUUCCUUGCUGGACAAUAGAUGCUCUGUAAGCAGAUGACUAAUGAAUCAGAACUACAGAAAACAGCAUGGAUGAACGUUGUUAUUUCCAGAGAUUUGGCUGAAUAUUUGCGAUUGAGUGGUGGUACACCUAUGAGUUAAGGCAAACAAGUUUUACGUACUAAGAUCACACGUAUUUGCGUUCCAUUUUUUCCUCAGUAGGAAUGUAUUGAUGUUCUCAUCACAUCCACUGUGAUGAGAAUUUUACUAAAUAUCAAGCUCUUCUGAGCUCUGUAUGCAAGGUCAACAUUUUUUGUUGGGCAUUUUAUUAUUGUUUAAAAGAAAAAAAAAAAGAAACAAGUAGACUGUACUCGUAUAAGGCAUAUUCAAAGAGGAAAUAUUUCAUAUUUCAAGGUCAACCACUCUUAUUGCAGACUGUGACAUUUCAGCAGUGAGUCACAAUGCUUACGAUCUCACUGUGUUUACUCUCAUGGCAUGUGGCUUGAACAGCUUGCUCCCUGCAUGCUAUUUUGUAAUUCUCUGUCCAAUCUUCAUAUAAAUAUCCCCAAUGCUAGGAAUUCUUUCUUUCUUUAUAAGCCUGUUUUACAAUAUCUGUUUAAUAAGAUUUAUGCUCAAGCUGUCAUUUCUGAUUACGUUACUCUGAGUUUAUAAAGCUUCCUUUCCAGUGGUCAACAGUAUGAAUCUCUGUGUGAAUCUUAGUGCAUUUCCUUUUUCUUGUAAUGCAUAAACGUCUGAAAACUGAUCAAAACAGCCAUCCUUCUUUGAUUGUAUAUUUUAUUUCUGCCAAAAGGUUCAAAUUUAAUGAAAAAGAAAUGUUCAAUGAGUGUAACACAGAUUUUCCAGAAGAAGCAGGCCUAUUAAACUUGUUUUGAAAGAUGGAUGAACACUAUUAAUUUUAAUAUAUUCUAUAUAUAUCUUCUCACUUGACAAUUGUUAUUUAAAGAUUUUGUUCUAGCUUAUUGCUGCACUUAUGUUGUAGAGUGGUUUCACACCAACACAUGGAUAAGUAACUUAAUUAUAAGUGGGCUUAAGCCAAAUGUAAUGGAAAUAAUGUUUUCUUACCAGGAAUCUGUAUAGUCUCAGAUACGAUAAUAACCUGGUUGAGUGGUAGGUAUGUAUUCCAUAUGCCACACUGAAGCACAAUAGCUUGAAUUUUUGAACUUU